rnacentral:rRNA from 1 species
GGGUUGUGAGGUUAAGCGACUAAGCGUACACGGUGGAUGCCCUGGCAGUCAGAGGCGAUGAAGGACGUGCUAAUCUGCGAAAAGCGUCGGUAAGGUGAUAUGAACCGUUAUAACCGGCGAUGUCCGAAUGGGGAAACCCAGUGCAAUUCGUUGCACUAUCGUUAACUGAAUACAUAGGUUAACGAGGCGAACCGGGGGAACUGAAACAUCUAAGUACCCCGAGGAAAAGAAAUCAACCGAGAUUCCCCCAGUAGCGGCGAGCGAACGGGGAGCAGCCCAGAGUCUGAAUCAGCUUGUGUGUUAGUGGAACGGUCUGGAAAGUCCGACGGUACAGGGUGAUAGUCCCGUACACCAAAAUGCACAGGUUGUGAACUCGAAGAGUAGGGCGGGACACGUGGUAUCCUGUCUGAAUAUGGGGGGACCAUCCUCCAAGGCUAAAUACUCCUGACUGACCGAUAGUGAACCAGUACCGUGAGGGAAAGGCGAAAAGAACCCCGGCGAGGGGAGUGAAAAAGAACCUGAAACCGUGUACGUACAAGCAGUGGGAGCACCUUCGGGUGUGACUGCGUACCUUUUGUAUAAUGGGUCAGCGACUUAUAUUCUGUAGCAAGGUUAACCGUAUAGGGGAGCCGCAGGGAAACCGAGUCUUAACUGGGCGUUAAGUUGCAGGGUAUAGACCCGAAACCCGGUGAUCUAGCCAUGGGCAGGUUGAAGGUUGGGUAACACUAACUGGAGGACCGAACCGACUAAUGUUGAAAAAUUAGCGGAUGACUUGUGGCUGGGGGUGAAAGGCCAAUCAAACCGGGAGAUAGCUGGUUCUCCCCGAAAGCUAUUUAGGUAGCGCCUCGUGAACUCAUCUUCGGGGGUAGAGCACUGUUUCGGCUAGGGGGUCAUCCCGACUUACCAACCCGAUGCAAACUACGAAUACCGAAGAAUGUUAUCACGGGAGACACACGGCGGGUGCUAACGUCCGUCGUGAAGAGGGAAACAACCCAGACCGCCAGCUAAGGUCCCAAAGUCAUGGUUAAGUGGGAAACGAUGUGGGAAGGCACAGACAGCCAGGAUGUUGGCUUAGAAGCAGCCAUCAUUUAAAGAAAGCGUAAUAGCUCACUGGUCGAGUCGGCCUGCGCGGAAGAUGUAACGGGGCUAAACCAUGCACCGAAGCUGCGGCAGCGACACUAUGUGUUGUUGGGUAGGGGAGCGUUCUGUAAGCCUGCGAAGGUGUGCUGUGAGGCAUGCUGGAGGUAUCAGAAGUGCGAAUGCUGACAUAAGUAACGAUAAAGCGGGUGAAAAGCCCGCUCGCCGGAAGACCAAGGGUUCCUGUCCAACGUUAAUCGGGGCAGGGUGAGUCGACCCCUAAGGCGAGGCCGAAAGGCGUAGUCGAUGGGAAACAGGUUAAUAUUCCUGUACUUGGUGUUACUGCGAAGGGGGGACGGAGAAGGCUAUGUUAGCCGGGCGACGGUUGUCCCGGUUUAAGCAUGUAGGCUGGUUAUCCAGGCAAAUCCGGAUAAUCAAGGCUGAGGUGUGAUGACGAGGCACUACGGUGCUGAAGUAACAAAUGCCCUGCUUCCAGGAAAAGCCUCUAAGCAUCAGGUAACAUCAAAUCGUACCCCAAACCGACACAGGUGGUCAGGUAGAGAAUACCAAGGCGCUUGAGAGAACUCGGGUGAAGGAACUAGGCAAAAUGGUGCCGUAACUUCGGGAGAAGGCACGCUGGUGUGUAGGUGAAGUCCCUGCGGAUGGAGCUGAGACCAGUCGAAGAUACCAGCUGGCUGCAACUGUUUAUUAAAAACACAGCACUGUGCAAACACGAAAGUGGACGUAUACGGUGUGACGCCUGCCCGGUGCCGGAAGGUUAAUUGAUGGGGUUAUCCGUAAGGAGAAGCUCUUGAUCGAAGCCCCGGUAAACGGCGGCCGUAACUAUAACGGUCCUAAGGUAGCGAAAUUCCUUGUCGGGUAAGUUCCGACCUGCACGAAUGGCGUAAUGAUGGCCAGGCUGUCUCCACCCGAGACUCAGUGAAAUUGAACUCGCUGUGAAGAUGCAGUGUACCCGCGGCAAGACGGAAAGACCCCGUGAACCUUUACUAUAGCUUGACACUGAACAUUGAGCCUUGAUGUGUAGGAUAGGUGGGAGGCUUUGAAGCGUGGACGCCAGUCUGCGUGGAGCCAACCUUGAAAUACCACCCUUUAAUGUUUGAUGUUCUAACGUUGGCCCCUGACCGGGGUUGCGGACAGUGUCUGGUGGGUAGUUUGACUGGGGCGGUCUCCUCCCAAAGCGUAACGGAGGAGCACGAAGGUUAGCUAAUCCUGGUCGGACAUCAGGAGGUUAGUGCAAUGGCAUAAGCUAGCUUGACUGCGAGCGUGACGGCGCGAGCAGGUGCGAAAGCAGGUCAUAGUGAUCCGGUGGUUCUGAAUGGAAGGGCCAUCGCUCAACGGAUAAAAGGUACUCCGGGGAUAACAGGCUGAUACCGCCCAAGAGUUCAUAUCGACGGCGGUGUUUGGCACCUCGAUGUCGGCUCAUCACAUCCUGGGGCUGAAGUAGGUCCCAAGGGUAUGGCUGUUCGCCAUUUAAAGUGGUACGCGAGCUGGGUUUAGAACGUCGUGAGACAGUUCGGUCCCUAUCUGCCGUGGGCGCUGGAGAAUUGAGGGGGGCUGCUCCUAGUACGAGAGGACCGGAGUGGACGCAUCACUGGUGUUCGGGUUGUCAUGCCAAUGGCACUGCCCGGUAGCUAAAUGCGGAAGAGAUAAGUGCUGAAAGCAUCUAAGCACGAAACUUGCCCCGAGAUGAGUUCUCCCUGAGAC